rnacentral:lncRNA from 1 species
ACUACAAGAAAGUAGAGAUAUGACAACAUUUAUUUAGUGACAUUUGAAAAAAAUGUCAAGAAAUAGAGAUUUUCUUGACAAUUACGAAAAAAAUGUCACAAAAAUAAUGAUAUUUAAUUUAAAUGUCAUAAAAACAACGACAUUUAUCAUAAAAUGGCAUAUAAACAAUGACAUUUACCAUAAAAUGUCGUAUAAACAAUGAUAUUUGACGUAAAAUAUCGUAAAAUUAGUGACAUUUGGGCAAAAUGCCAUAAAAAUUAUGACAUUUGAUGUAAAUAUCGUAAAAACAACAACAUUAUAUACAAAUAUCGUAAAAACAAUGACAUUUGGUAAAAUAACGUUAAAAAGUUAUGACACAAAUGUCAAAAAUAUUUAGUUGCUAAUAUCGACAUUUGCACCUAAUAUUAAAAUCUAAAUCUUUUUAAGAAAUUUCUCACUCUUUGAAUUUAACUCUGGAAAAUAAAAUUUGAUGCAUAAAUAUAAUGUAAUUAAUUAUAAUAAACUCUCUAUCUUUUACUAAUUAACUAUUAAAUAAGUCUUACUUGUAAGCUUAAAUAUAAAUUAAAGUGCUACGUAAUUUUAUUU